rnacentral:misc_RNA from 1 species
GAUGAAGAACGCAGCGAAAUGCGAUACUUGGUGUGAAUUGCAGAAUCCCGUGAACCAUCGAGUUUUUGAACGCAAGUUGCGCCCGAAGCCGUUAGGCUGAGGGCACGCCUGCCUGGGUGUCACACAUCGUUGCCCCAAUGCCAAUCGCCUCACUUUGUAGGUAUUUGCUUGGGGUGAAUGUUGGCCUCCCGUGAGCUUUGUCUCACGGUUGGUUGAAAAUCGAGUGCAUGGUGUCGGGUGUACCAUGAUGGAUGGUGGUUGAGUGAUGAUGCUCGAGACCAAUCAUGGGUAACUCCAGGCGGGGCUACCCGCUGAGUUUAAGCAUAUCAAUAAGCGGAGGA